CUCGAGCCCUACACGGUCCGAAGGUGUCAGGCAAUCGAGGGAAAACACUCGCUACUGCUGCUGCUGCCGCCACCGCCACUCUAUCAGGAACACACUGGACAGUCCCAGAAGAAGAGAGAUCGGGUCCUUCUGCACCCUUACACCCAAAAUCCUCUCCAUUGCACCCAUCACAACGUUCCAAGACCAGAAACCGACUACAAGACCAGAGACAAUGGACUUGCCUGACAAUGGGAAACCAAUGCCAUCCGACUGAGCACUUUCUGCAUGAAUGCCCCAGAAAACAGGAACUGGAAACUGAGGCAUUGUGUCCUAAACUGAGAAAGUGAGAAACGAUCCACGCAUUGAUAAACAUCUUUCCCUCAGGAGUUUCCGAAGUAUAUCAUAGACAGUGAAUCACUUAGCAAACACAGCAGGUAAUUUGCAUUAACAAAAUCUGAUAGUUAGCAAAGAAAAUAACUGACCAGUUACUUUAUUUUGGUGGUUUGGCUGGAGAUAAAUAUUGACUAAGGUAGUUCCCCUGCUGUUUUGUAAAUAGUACCACAGGAGUUUUAAGUUUAAAGGUACCUUAGUAUAACAUCUCAUCUUGAAGAUGGUAUCUCCAAUAAUGCAGUAUCUCCUUCUUGGGACCUUUUCACUUCACCACAAGGACCAACACUGAAUCAAGGUGUUACUUAAGACUAACUAUAUGAACAGGGUGGUAUCAAUUUAAUCUAAAUAUUUGGAAAAAAAUUUACCCUUAAAUUUAAAUUACCAAUAUUACAUCACCUUUUCUGGUGUUGAAUUUGAGUCAAACCAGCUGUUAAUAUUAAUUAGGAAUGAUAAUAAUUCAUUUGCCUUCUCCCAUAUCUGAACAAAUAUUAUCACUGAAGACAAAGAAUGUUAUCAAUGCAUGUUGCUCAUAAGAAUGCUGCACAACAUGGAACCAAUCAAGUAAACUCAUUUAGUUUGUGGGUUGAUGCCAAUGACCUACUUAUCCCAGUAGCAAUAACAACAGAAAAGACUAUAAAUAAACUAUAUAUUGGUUUUCUGCCACAUGCUUCAUAAGGGAAAAGGUAUGACAUGUUUUUGAUGUACAAUUGAAACAUUGCUUACUCUUCCUAUCUAUACGAUUUUUUUGGCAAUCUGACAAAAAAAUGAAUGUAUUAAUUUCAUUUUAAAUAAUAUAUAGUAUUAUGAUACAAAUAUAAUCAAUAUAUUUUAAAUAUGUACAAUUGUAAGGGUUUCUAAAGUCUGCUUUUAUUGACUUUUUAAAAUGUCAGAUUUUAUUUUCAUGUUCAGCAUCAAAUGCUGGGGGAGAAAACAGAUCCCAAAAGCAGCAUGAAUUCAGCAAAAAUCAAUAAAAUUCUAUUUUUAAUUUGAACAUCAUCAAACCUCAAGAAAAUACCAACAUGUUAAAAUUAAGCUCAAUAACAAGCUACAAUUAUUUACAACAUUUAUAGUUGCCACUUUUACAGUCUCAGUGACAGUUCCAAAAAUAAUCUAGGUUUUCACAAUAGCAAAAUAUUGUGAAGCUGUAUUAGCAGUGAAAUGUAUUGUUAGCAAUUGUGAAUAUAUAAUGUUUUGAAAAAUGGUGACUUAUAAAAUUGACAAAUAAAUUCAUAUGUAACCAAUCUAGUGUUGUAAGUACUAAUAUUUUUGAAAUAUGACAAGCAUAGUUUUUUAAAAUGUGUACAUUAAACAUAUUAUGAUCAUCUCUUGCAGUGGAUAAUUUUGUUUGUAACAUAGUUGUAAUAAUUAACAAGGUUUUUCAAUGUGCAUUUUGACAAAAUACAAUCUUUAGAGCUUUUAAUGUAAGGAGCAGAUGGGGAAUUGGGAAUUAAGAUAAUUAAAUAUUUUUGUCAUUCCAAUACAAUCUGUAAAUUUAUCUGUAGAUAUUGAUAAAAACCAGUUUAAAAAGCACUUGCAUAAGGAGAAAAGACUGAACAACAACUUCAUCAAUUGUUUUAAGUGCCACUGAAUCAGAGUAUUGUUAAAUGGAUUAUCAUUGGGGUUUUGCUGCCUUCUGAGAUAAAUAUGUAUAGAUUUACCAACUCAGCAUCCAACAUUGAGUAAGGAUAUAUAUUUGGCAUAUAUAUAAUUGAUGCAGAAAUGAUUAACCAUGGUAGAAUAAAGAACUGGACUCCUGAUCCUUGGCAUACAAUAUAGCACAAAUCAUGUUUCUGAUGUAAACCAAAGUUCAUAAACUUUGAGCUGGUUCUAACCAUGAGACCCACUAUUUGUUCCCUCAAUCUAACUCCCAUGAAUCUUUUGAUGACCCAACUUCUCCUAGUCCCCUUGUCACUUGAUAUUAAAAAUGGUUCUAUCUCUUCACAUAUUGUCCCUCCCUUCUUUAAAUUUUUCAUCAUCAUUCUUCUCCUCCAGAAGAAAACCGUUAAUGAUACUGUUCUUGCAAACUACCAUCCAAUCUGUGGCUGUACGGGACAUUGUUAGGCCACUUUUGGAAUACUGCAUGC